rnacentral:rRNA from 1 species
GAUGAACGCUGGCGGCGUGCCUAAUACAUGCAAGUCGAGCGAACGGACGAGAAGCUUGCUUCUCUGAUGUUAGCGGCGGACGGGUGAGUAACACGUGGAUAACCUACCUAUAAGACUGGGAGAACUUCGUGAAACCGGAGCUAAUACCGGAUAAUAUUUUGAACCGCAUGGUUCAAAAGUGAAAGACGGUCUUGCUGUCACUUAUAGAUGGAUCCGCGCUGCAUUAGCUAGUUGGUAAGGUAACGGCUCACCAAGGCAACGAUGCAUAGCCGAUCUGAGAGGAUGAUCAGCCACACUGGAACUGAGACACGGUCCAGACUCCUACGGGAGGCAGCAGUAGGGAAUCUUCCGCAAUGGGCGCAAGCCUGACGCAGCCACGCCGCGUGAGUGAUGAAGGUCUUCGGAUCGUAAAGCUCUGUUAUUAGGGAAGAACAUAUGUGUAAGUAACCCUCCCCAUUUUGACGGUACCCAAUCAGAAAGCCCCGGCUAACUUCGUG